GGGUUGUGAGGUUAAGCGACUAAGCGUACACGGUGGAUGCCCUGGCAGUCAGAGGCGAUGAAGGACGUGCUAAUCUGCGAUAAGCGUCGGUAAGGUGAUAUGAACCGUUAUAACCGGCGAUUUCCGAAUGGGGAAACCCAGUGUGAUUCGUCACACUAUCAUUAACUGAAUCCAUAGGUUAAUGAGGCGAACCGGGGGAACUGAAACAUCUAAGUACCCCGAGGAAAAGAAAUCAACCGAGAUUCCCCCAGUAGCGGCGAGCGAACGGGGAGCAGCCCAGAGCCUGAAUCAGUGUGUGUGUUAGUGGAAGCGUCUGGAAAGGCGCGCGAUACAGGGUGACAGCCCCGUACACAAAAAUGCACAUGCUGUGAGCUCGAUGAGUAGGGCGGGACACGUGGUAUCCUGUCUGAAUAUGGGGGGACCAUCCUCCAAGGCUAAAUACUCCUGACUGACCGAUAGUGAACCAGUACCGUGAGGGAAAGGCGAAAAGAACCCCGGCGAGGGGAGUGAAAAAGAACCUGAAACCGUGUACGUACAAGCAGUGGGAGCACGCUUAGGCGUGUGACUGCGUACCUUUUGUAUAAUGGGUCAGCGACUUAUAUUCUGUAGCAAGGUUAACCGAAUAGGGGAGCCGAAGGGAAACCGAGUCUUAACUGGGCGUUAAGUUGCAGGGUAUAGACCCGAAACCCGGUGAUCUAGCCAUGGGCAGGUUGAAGGUUGGGUAACACUAACUGGAGGACCGAACCGACUAAUGUUGAAAAAUUAGCGGAUGACUUGUGGCUGGGGGUGAAAGGCCAAUCAAACCGGGAGAUAGCUGGUUCUCCCCGAAAGCUAUUUAGGUAGCGCCUCGUGAAUUCAUCUCCGGGGGUAGAGCACUGUUUCGGCAAGGGGGUCAUCCCGACUUACCAACCCGAUGCAAACUGCGAAUACCGGAGAAUGUUAUCACGGGAGACACACGGCGGGUGCUAACGUCCGUCGUGAAGAGGGAAACAACCCAGACCGCCAGCUAAGGUCCCAAAGUCAUGGUUAAGUGGGAAACGAUGUGGGAAGGCCCAGACAGCCAGGAUGUUGGCUUAGAAGCAGCCAUCAUUUAAAGAAAGCGUAAUAGCUCACUGGUCGAGUCGGCCUGCGCGGAAGAUGUAACGGGGCUAAACCAUGCACCGAAGCUGCGGCAGCGACGCUGAUGCGUUGUUGGGUAGGGGAGCGUUCUGUAAGCCUGUGAAGGUGUGCUGUGAGGCAUGCUGGAGGUAUCAGAAGUGCGAAUGCUGACAUAAGUAACGAUAAAGCGGGUGAAAAGCCCGCUCGCCGGAAGACCAAGGGUUCCUGUCCAACGUUAAUCGGGGCAGGGUGAGUCGACCCCUAAGGCGAGGCCGAAAGGCGUAGUCGAUGGGAAACAGGUUAAUAUUCCUGUACUUGGUGUUACUGCGAAGGGGGGACGGAGAAGGCUAUGUUGGCCGGGCGACGGUUGUCCCGGUUUAAGCGUGUAGGCUGGUUUUCCAGGCAAAUCCGGAAAAUCAAGGCUGAGGCGUGAUGACGAGGCACUACGGUGCUGAAGCAACAAAUGCCCUGCUUCCAGGAAAAGCCUCUAAGCAUCAGGUAACAUCAAAUCGUACCCCAAACCGACACAGGUGGUCAGGUAGAGAAUACCAAGGCGCUUGAGAGAACUCGGGUGAAGGAACUAGGCAAAAUGGUGCCGUAACUUCGGGAGAAGGCACGCUGAUAUGUAGGUGAAGCGACUUGCUCGUGGAGCUGAAAUCAGUCGAAGAUACCAGCUGGCUGCAACUGUUUAUUAAAAACACAGCACUGUGCAAACACGAAAGUGGACGUAUACGGUGUGACGCCUGCCCGGUGCCGGAAGGUUAAUUGAUGGGGUCAGCGCAAGCGAAGCUCUUGAUCGAAGCCCCGGUAAACGGCGGCCGUAACUAUAACGGUCCUAAGGUAGCGAAAUUCCUUGUCGGGUAAGUUCCGACCUGCACGAAUGGCGUAAUGAUGGCCAGGCUGUCUCCACCCGAGACUCAGUGAAAUUGAACUCGCUGUGAAGAUGCAGUGUACCCGCGGCAAGACGGAAAGACCCCGUGAACCUUUACUAUAGCUUGACACUGAACAUUGAGCCUUGAUGUGUAGGAUAGGUGGGAGGCUUUGAAGUGUGGACGCCAGUCUGCAUGGAGCCGACCUUGAAAUACCACCCUUUAAUGUUUGAUGUUCUAACGUGGACCCGUAAUCCGGGUUGCGGACAGUGUCUGGUGGGUAGUUUGACUGGGGCGGUCUCCUCCUAAAGAGUAACGGAGGAGCACGAAGGUUGGCUAAUCCUGGUCGGACAUCAGGAGGUUAGUGCAAUGGCAUAAGCCAGCUUGACUGCGAGCGUGACGGCGCGAGCAGGUGCGAAAGCAGGUCAUAGUGAUCCGGUGGUUCUGAAUGGAAGGGCCAUCGCUCAACGGAUAAAAGGUACUCCGGGGAUAACAGGCUGAUACCGCCCAAGAGUUCAUAUCGACGGCGGUGUUUGGCACCUCGAUGUCGGCUCAUCACAUCCUGGGGCUGAAGUAGGUCCCAAGGGUAUGGCUGUUCGCCAUUUAAAGUGGUACGCGAGCUGGGUUUAGAACGUCGUGAGACAGUUCGGUCCCUAUCUGCCGUGGGCGCUGGAGAAUUGAGGGGGGCUGCUCCUAGUACGAGAGGACCGGAGUGGACGCAUCACUGGUGUUCGGGUUGUCAUGCCAAUGGCACUGCCCGGUAGCUAAAUGCGGAAGAGAUAAGUGCUGAAAGCAUCUAAGCACGAAACUUGCCCCGAGAUGAGUUCUCCCUGACUCCUUGAGAGUCCUGAAGGAACGUUGAAGACGACGACGUUGAUAGGCCGGGUGUGUAAGCGCAGCGAUGCGUUGAGCUAACCGGUACUAAUGAACCGUGAGGCUUAACCUUACAACGCCGAAG
rnacentral:rRNA from 1 species